CAGACCAAAGUCAGGCACCAAAUCUGGCUCCCCCUCUCUUUACUGUUUGAAGGAAAGCCGCCUUGCCACACCAACAAAGGAGAGCGUGCAGCUGGCCAAAUGGCACCAAAUAGCACUUCGUUGCAGAUAAACCCGAAAGGCUCCCGGAAAAUACUGAAGCAGGAAUGCCAUUGUCACCCAAGAUGAAUCCUAUAGAAAUAACUCAUUUUUGCCCAGCAAAGUAUGCAUUUCAGAAGGAAUGACUUACCCAAAUCACCAACGGGAUCAAGUGGGAUUCCUGUGAAGCCGUGCGGAGUGAUCGGAGGACCCGGGUGCUUUUAUAGGGUCCCCGAUGGAGGAGCAGAAAGGAGCCACCCUUUGUGGACGUUGUCCUGAUUCAUCUUUGGCCAAGCCCAGCUGCACCUUCAUGUCCUCAAACGGGUUAUUUAACUUAUCAUCCCCUUACCUAUCAUUUUAACCCAGAAAUAGCAGUUGCCAUGUGGCAAUUCAGGCAUCAGCUGGUUCCACCUAAUCCGGACUGUAAAGUUAUUUUACAGGUAUGCAUUUAUGUAUGUAUGAUACACACCCAUAAAAAUAGUACUGGACCUGGAGGACGUCGAUAGAAGUGCUGACGUUCGCAGAGUUGUAAGCACCCUGGGGACAGAGGGGAUCUGCAUGGCUCUCCAGCUUGGUGCUGCACCACCAGAGGGAGCAAAUAAGGGAGACAUCAGCCGUGCCACCUCGGCCCCUGCGUUUGGUUUUGGAGCUGGGCUGCUGCCUUGACAAGCGUGCUGGAGACAUUGCGGAGAGCCUCCGGAGCAUGAACCUGUCAC